GGGUUAAUGGGGAUGGGAGCAAGAAGACCGUGGGCGUGUCAACACAAGAGAAACGAAAAUUUUAUACAAAUAAACAGAUGGAACCUACGUAACACUCGACAACCUGGGCUGGAGAUGCAGGAUUUGACAUUUACGUGUUGUUUCUUUCCCACUUGCUCUCUCUCUACUUUGACACAAUUUUCAAGACUGUGAAAGCGUUGAAAUCUGGAGCCAGUAUCGUCCUCUCCGUUUGUCACUCUGAUGUACAGUUGAGAAAAGAGCGACAAUGGUGGAGCCUUUGCUGUGGAAGAUAUACAGCAUGGCAGCACAUCUUCCGGGCAACUCUUUUUUUAUUUACCCUUAAUACCACAUUUCUACUUAGUAAUUAUGGGCGUUCUUAGCUUGUUUAGUUUCACAUUACAUUUAUUAAAACCCUAAAUAUCAUACUCUUUACUGUUCUUUUUUCUUCCCCCA